GAUGAACGCUGGCGGCGUGCCUAAUACAUGCAAGUCGAGCGAACGGACGAGAAGCUUGCUUCUCUGAUGUUAGCGGCGGACGGGUGAGUAACACGUGGAUAACCUACCUAUAAGACUGGGAUAACUUCGGGAAACCGGAGCUAAUGCCGGAUAAUAUUUUGAACCGCAUGGUUCAAAAGUGAAAGACGGUCUUGCUGUCACUUAUAGAUGGAUCCGCGCUGCAUUAGCUAGUUGGUAAGGUAACGGCUUACCAAGGCAACGAUGCAUAGCCGACCUGAGAGGGUGAUCGGCCCCACUGGAACUGAGACCCGGUCCAGACUCUUACGGGAGGCAGCAGUAGGGAAUCUUCCGCAAUGGGCGAAAGCCUGACGGAGCAACGCCGCGUGAGUGAUGAAGGUCUUCGGAUCGUAAAACUCUGUUAUUAGGGAAGAACAUAUGUGUAAGUAACUGUGCACAUCUUGACGGUACCUAAUCAGAAAGCCACGGCUAACUACGU
rnacentral:rRNA from 1 species